CGGCAACAGCUCAAAUUUGAAAUCUGGCACCCGCCCGAGUUGUAAUUUGUAGAGGAUGUUUUGGGUACCGCGCUGGUUUAAAUUUCUUGGAACAGAAUGUCAGAGAGGGUGAGAAUCCCGUCUUGGACCGGCGUAGGGCCCGUGUAAAACUCCUUCGAC
rnacentral:rRNA from 1 species